rnacentral:rRNA from 1 species
UCUGGGAAACUGCCUGAUGGAGGGGGAUAACUACUGGAAACGGUAGCUAAUACCGCAUAACGUCGCAAGACCAAAGAGGGGGACCUUCGGGCCUCUUGCCAUCGGAUGUGCCCAGAUGGGAUUAGCUAGUAGGUGGGGUAACGGCUCACCUAGGCGACGAUCCCUAGCUGGUCUGAGAGGAUGACCAGCCACACUGGAACUGAGACACGGUCCAGACUCCUACGGGAGGCAGCAGUGGGGAAUAUUGCACAAUGGGCGCAAGCCUGAUGCAGCCAUGCCGCGUGUAUGAAGAAGGCCUUCGGGUUGUAAAGUACUUUCAGCGGGGAGGAAGGGAGUAAAGUUAAUACCUUUGCUCAUUGACGUUACCCGCAGAAGAAGCACCGGCUAACUCCGUGCCAGCAGCCGCGGUAAUACGGAGGGUGCAAGCGUUAAUCGGAAUUACUGGGCGUAAAGCGCACGCAGGCGGUUUGUUAAGUCAGAUGUGAAAUCCCCGGGCUCAACCUGGGAACUGCAUCUGAUACUGGCAAGCUUGAGUCUCGUAGAGGGGGGUAGAAUUC